rnacentral:misc_RNA from 1 species
GGAUAAUCCAAGAUUGCUUGUGAGAAUUCUCGAAUUUGUUCCUCAAGAAGGGGUUUCUUGUGACGCAAAAAGUGAUGCAAUCCGUGUUUAAUGGCCACACGUGCGAGCUUUUCUGUAUUAACGUUGGCGGCACGGAGCCGUGUCAAGGCACCGGGUGGCAAAUCCGGAUACUUGAAGUAGUGUUCCCUGGUGAAGAGAAGGUUAAGC